rnacentral:rRNA from 1 species
CCUACGGGAGGCAGCAGUGGGGAAUAUUGGGCAAUGGAGGAAACUCUGAACCAGCAACGCCGCGUGAAUGAUGAAGGUCUUCGGAUUGGAAAGUUCUUUUCUAAGGGGAGAAGAAAGUGACGGUACCUUAGGAAUAAGCCUCGGCUAACUACGUGCCAGCAGCCGCGGUAAUACGUAGGAGGCGAGCGUUAUCCGGAAUGACUGGGCGUAAAGGGUGCGUAGGUGGUUUGGCAAGUUAGUAGCGUAACUCCAAGGCUCAACCUCGGAACUACUACUAAAACUGUUGGACUUGAGUGCAGGAGCGGCAACCGGAAUGCAUAGUGUAGCGGUGGAAUGCGUAGAUAUUAGGAGGAACACCAGUGGCGAAGGCGGGUUGCCAGACUGUAACUGACGCUGAGGCACGAAAGCGUGGGGAGCAAACAGGAUUAGAUACCCGAGUAGUC